rnacentral:lncRNA from 1 species
GGAGGAAUGACAACAAUAUUUGGUGUCUGAACACGCUAUAUAAUAUUUGGGAACUGAUGAACUAAUGUCAUGGGUGAAAAAGUCUGACUUGUGCCCUCAAAACUCCCCAGAAGGGGAUAUAGCAUUGAGAGUGAAUCCUUGAACUUUAAUGGGAACUUGAACUUGCAGCUUAAUAGUCUUCUAAAUAUUUACUGUCAGAAGAUUUAUUCAUCGUCUACAGGUCUCAGUUUUUCCAUCUGUAUAAUCAGGAUGAUGAUAUGGUUCGUGUAGUAAAGUAAAAGAUGAGAAUACACAUGAAUCUAGUGAUAGACUAGCCACUGAUAGAGUGUGAAGCUUAUUCCUUUUCUCUGAUGACUGCAUAGAUUCACUUAGAUAUUAAAAUCUCACCCACGGGGCAGCCCUGGUGGCUCAGCAGUUUAGCGCCGCCUUCAGCCCAGGGCGUGAUCCUGGAGACCCAGGAUCAAGUCCCAUGUCAUGCUCCCUGCAUGGAGCCUGCUUCUCCCUCUGCCUGUGUCUCUGCCUCUCUCUCUCUCUGUCUCUCAUGAAUAAAUAAAUAAAAUCUUUAAAAAUUCAAAAUAAAAUAAUAAAAUAAAAUAAAAUAAUAAAAUAAAAUAAAAUAAAAUAAAUAAAAUAAAAUAAAUAAAAUAAAAUAAAAUAAAUAAAAUAAAAUAAAAUAAAAUAAUAAAAUAAAUAAAAUAAAAUAAAAAAAAAAUAAAACAAAACAAAACAAAACAAAAAAUAAAAUAAAAUAAAAUAAAAUAAAAUAAAAUAAAAUAAAAUAAAUAAAAUAAAAUAAAAUAAAUAAAAUAAAAUCUUACCCACAGUCCCAACCCAUCUUAUCCAUCUGUUCUCGGUCUGUUCUAACCACCAUUAUCUAAUCCCUCUGAGAACCACAGAGCUUCCUGUCUGUGACAUCCACUUGAAAUUACUGGGUGUUGUCACUUCCUCCGUGUGUGACCUUGGACAAGUUACUUCACUUCACUUAGCUUCCGUUUUUCUUCUGUUUUUCCACAAAACAGGACUAAAGGUGGUGUGGCUCUGGUGGGGCAGUUCUGAGGAUUCCAGUGGAGCAGCACAGCCAUGUGUCUG